AAAUUGAAGAGUUUGAUCAUGGCUCAGAUUGAACGCUGGCGGCAGGCCUAACACAUGCAAGUCGAACGGUAACAGGGAUCAGCUUGCUGAUUCGCUGACGAGUGGCGGACGGGUGAGUAAUGUCUGGGAAACUGCCUGAUGGAGGGGGAUAACUACUGGAAACGGUAGCUAAUACCGCAUAACGUC
rnacentral:rRNA from 1 species